CUGUGUGCAGUGAUUGAUUGAGCGCCGACUGUGUGCAGGGAUUGGUUGUGCCCCGACUGUGUGCAGGGAUUGAUUGAGCGCCGACUGUGUGCAGGGAUUGAUUGAGCGCCGACUGUGUGCAGGGACUGAUUGAGUGCCAGCUGUGUGCAGGGAUUGAUUGAGUGCCGACUGUGUGCAGGGACUGGGCCAUGUGGAGUGCUGGGUGUGUUGGGAGCAAGUCUGACCCGCACCUGCCCUCACAGGGGCUGGCGCACAGGAAAGGACCACAUGAAGCCACAUGGACGGAGGCCUGUGGUACUGGGUGUGCGGUGGGCGUAGCCAGGUGGUAGAGCGAGCUGGGUG
rnacentral:lncRNA from 1 species